rnacentral:misc_RNA from 1 species
GGAAAAAUAAUCAAACUUCCAGAAAUUCAAAUAGCAGCAGUAGGAAACAAAAUUGCAGAUUGAUUCAGAGUUUGGCGCGUGGAAGGAUGUUUAGACAGCGAGUUUAGAUGUGAAGACAAGAAAAGGGGGUGGAUGGAUAGAGUUGAAAAAACGAUAGGAAGAUGCAGCAAGUAAGGAAAGAAGAGAGAGACGUUGAAGAAACCUGUG